ACGGGAGGCAGCAGUUGGGAAUAUUGCGCAAUGGAGGAAACUCUGACGCAGUGACGCCGGGUGCAGGAAGAAGGUUUUCGGAUUGUAAACUGCUUUAGACAGGGAAGAUAGUGACAGUACCUGUAGAAUAAGCUCCGGCUAACUACGUGCCAGCAGCCGCGGUAAUACGUAGGGAGCGAGCGUUAUCCGGAUUUAUUGGGUGUAAAGGGUGCGUAGACGGGAAAUUAAGUUAGUUGUGAAAUCCCUCGGCUUAACUGAGGAACUGCAACUAAAACUGAUUUUCUUGAGUGCUGGAGAGGAAAGCGGAAUUCCUAGUGUAGCGGUGAAAUGCGUAGAUAUUAGGAGGAACACCAGUGGCGAAGGCGGCUUUCUGGACAGAAACUGACGUUGAGGCACGAAAGUGUGGGGAGCAAACAGGAUUAGAUACCCUGGUA
rnacentral:rRNA from 1 species